rnacentral:rRNA from 1 species
GAUGAACGCUGGCGGCGUGCCUAAUACAUGCAAGUCGAACGAAGAUCUAGCUUGCUAGAUCUUAGUGGCGAACGGGUGAGUAAUACAUAAAUAAUCUGCCCAUAUGACUGGGAUAACUAUUGGAAACGAUAGCUAAUACCGGAUAGGUUGAUCGGAGGCAUCUCCGAUGAAUUAAAGUAGGAUUUCUAUAAAAAGGGAUGAGUUUAUGGCGCAUUAGUUAGUUGGUGGGGUAACGGCCUACCAAGACGAUGAUGCGUAGCCGACCUGAGAGGGUGACCGGCCACACUGGGACUGAGACACGGCCCAGACUCCUACGGGAGGCAGCAGUAGGGAAUUUUCGGCAAUGGGCGCAAGCCUGACCGAGCAACGCCGCGUGAGUGAUUAAGGCCUUCGGGUUGUAAAGCUCUGUUGUAAGGGAAGAACAUUCAGGAUAGGAAAUGAUCUUGAACUGACGGUACCUUACCAGAAAGCCACGGCUAACUACGUGCCAGCCGCCGCAGUAA